CUUUUUUGUUCUGUGGGGACUAUAUGAGGUCAACAGCUGCAGUCCUCGAUCCGUGAGAGCUGAGCUCAGUUAUAAAAGUUUGGGCAUUUUGUGUUUAAAUGUAGGGUUUUCACCAAAUGUAUCCACAUUUGAUGUCAUUUCUACCAAUAAAUUAGUAUUAUCAGCAAAGCUCUCUUGUUGUAGAUCAUUAAAGCCUCAUGCUGCCUCAGAAGUCUGUCUGAAAUCGCUUUCUGGAGGAACCGUGAACAAAUGCUGCCUGUAAAGUCAUUGUCUGAUAAGAGAUCGACUCAUCAGCUUUCGGACGCAGCAGCAGCGACGAGUCUUCUGGGGAGAGAAAUUCAUAUUCGGUGAAGCUCCUCCUACAAACCCUGCAGAAUGAAACGCAACGAAGAGCAAACAGAGUUGAUUGAAGAAAACAAUGAGAAUGAAGAAUUGAGUGAAGUUUAGGAGAAAAAUAAUGUUAAAACUGGAGAAAAAACUUUGAGAUGCUCUCAAACCAAACAGAAAGAUUUAAAAAAGAGAAG